UACAGAGGGGGCAAGCGUUGUUCGGAAUUACUGGGCGUAAAGGGCGCGUAGGCGGCCUGCUAAGUCGAACGUGAAAUCCCUGGGCUCAACCCAGGAACUGCGUCCGAUACUGGUUGGCUUGAAUCCGGGAGAGGGAUGCGGAAUUCCAGGUGUAGCGGUGAAAUGCGUAGAUAUCAGGAGGAACACCGAUGGCGAAGGCAGGUCACUGGGCCGCAACUGACGCUGAGGAGCGAAAGCAUGGGGAGCGAACAGG
rnacentral:rRNA from 1 species